rnacentral:misc_RNA from 1 species
GUACUCUCACACUCUCUGAUCCCUUUGGAUUUGGGGAGCGGUGGACUUGGGUGUUUGCUGCUUUCCUUGUGGCUCACCUCAAAUGCGUCAGUGCACCUCUUGGUUGGACAUAGUACGGCGUGAUAAGUGUCUUCGCCGGCGCCUCGCAAGAGGGUAUCCGAUUGGGAGCUCUGUGCUUCAAACCGUCCCAUCCGGGAUAAUCUUUGACA